AGAGUCGAGGUCGAGAAUAUAUUCCCCGUCCCCAGCCCCGAAAUGUAAAUGGAGAAAAAAUAAUCCCUACUUCCUCCCCAUUCCUGUGUAUUCAGGAAUUCCCGCCAUGUUCGAGACGUCCUCGUAGAGUUCUCCAAGUAAAAUAAGUGAUAUUUUAUAUUUUUAAUAAUUCAUAAAUAAUUUUACAAAAUAACGAAAACGUCAAAUGCUGACUUCAAUUGUAAUCGCGGGUCCGCUAAAAAUUCCUAUUCCUACGCAAACCAUUUAUAAAUGAAAAAGAAAAAAAAAGCAUAAGCAUAAAAGAUUCCAACAAUAUUCGCUCCAUUUCCUCCCACCUCCAAAUUCUAAUUUCUCUCGUCUUACCUUCGCCUUUUCAUCUCCUUUUUCUCUGCAUUUUCAAUUCCUUUAACUCUUCCUUCUCUUUCAACAACUCAUUUUCUUCCUUUUGUUUGUUGGGGUUGUAUCGUUCAUCUUUUAGCUGAGAGACGUGAUGAUAUUAUGGAGGAAUAGAAUAUGCUGGUGUUUGGUAAUGUAAUGAUCGGUCUGCUGGUCUGCAACUAUGAGAAACUUUUGUUUCUAUAAAGUUGCGAAUAGUGGACCUUUUCUUGAGGUUUCUUUAAUAGCUCGCUGCAUUUGGUUGAUGUGAUCAGUAUUUUCAAGGUUUGUUAGGUUUAUGUUCGUUCUUAUAAGGUUCUGGAAGCCCAGAGGUGUUCUAAUGUUGAAUGCUUUUCUUACGAUGCCAAAUCAGAGGCCAACCUUUAUGCUUCUCGUACUCUGGAUCCGGCAACUUUGUGCAUGCUAUGAUCUUUUAUGGUUAAUGCAGUAUUAUUGAGAGCAUGAACUUGAAGCACUUGAAAGAAUGGGUUGGUUUUCUUCUGCAGAUGGUUUUAGUGCAUUAUGGUCUAUGGAUAUGAGGGUAUUGUGAGAUAUUGUGCGAUAAAAAAAUGCUAAACUAGCAUAAAAUUCCAAACACAGAACAUCAAAUUAUUUACAUUUCUUUCAAUUGUAUUUGUUUUCAUAACACCAAGAUCUAUCACGAGAAACCUGACUAAUUUCAGGACAAACAAUUAGAAGAAAGAAUCACCUUCAAGGUAACAAAUUCUUACACUAAAUCCUUGUAGCAAUCUUAUGUGUAUACCAUAUACACACUAACGUUAACCAUCCCCUUCAUCAAGCUAGAAACCUUUCCAAGCAUUAAGAAUUUCAUGGAAGAUUUCAGCUAUUAGAUCCCUGUCUGCAUUUUGCAGAAAGAUAUUGAAUUCAUCUCGGAUGUCGAGUAUCUUACCAAACUUCACGAGAUACUGCAUGCAGCUGGUCUUCAGUUUUGGCAAUUGAUAAAGAGAUGCAUUCUGUAGUCUUUCAAGAACAUUCUUGGCAUCAAUAUCUUCUAGCAGACUAUCGUGGCAGGCUUCUUUUAGGUCAUCUAUGUCAUAUUUCUCAGCUGCAUGAAGAAGUGCCAGUCUAUGGGCUAGAAACUCUUCAUGUUGGAUAUUACCAUACAUGUAAUUAAGAAAAGCCUGACAAGCUUCAAAAGACAUAUCAGAGAUGUUUAACGUAGAUAGUUCCUUUUCUUUCAGGUCAUGUGAAAACAUGCUGUGGAAAACAGGUGACCGUGAAGCAAGAAUAGCACGAUGGGCUCCAACACUUCCAUCAGAAGCAUUAAUUAUGAUAUCAGUGUGGAUGCUUUCCUUCAACAUUCGACCCAAUGAAAUAAGAGCUCUUGAAUUUGAUCGUUGUCGUGUCGAUCCAUCCGCCCAGAUAGAGGAAGGUUCCCCACCCUGUCAGUAAUUUGACAACAAUGAGUCCAAAAAGGAGCUAAAUUGGUGUCCAAAUCCUUCUUUCUUUAACACACUACUUUUUUUUUUCUUCCAGGCAUAACUUUUGUCAACUACUUCAUAUGGCUUGUUUUUAACUAUGAUACUUGGAUUCUGUUAUUAUAGUUAACCCCACAAUCAUCUUUGGAAGAAAUAUGCUAUGCAAUAGGAACAGAGGAAUAUUUAUAUGCUUACCUCUGAUGAUGCAAUCUUCAAAUCAAGGAAUUCUACGUCAAUGAUGAACUUUCCGGUUAAUGGAACUUCAAUUUGCCAAAUAAAGUCGUUGUUUUUAAGCUGUUUGUCUAUUAUUUCUGCAUGGAUGUGGAUGUGGUAACAAUAUUGGUCAUUCGAAGAACUGAAGGUCAUCAAGAAUAAGAAACAAAACUCCAACUGCUCAAUCAAAUGUCUUAACAGAGGAAAUGAGAAGAAUGAAAUUACCUGGAUGAGUCAAAGCCUUCCGAUCCCCUGCAAAGGAGACCACUCGGAUGAUGAAAGAUACAAUCGGAGGAUUAUCCCUCGUUAAGCUCGAUAUUUCUGGGUACAGGAAGCAAGAUUUUCGAUCCUCCAUUGGGCAAGGCGGGAUGUGGUUUCUACUCUAUAAGCUGAUUCACUCAUCCUAGCAAACGCGAGGGCUGCUGUGAUUUCAUGGAUGCAACCGAAGAUACCAUCGAGGAAGUGCUCUCCGGACUUUCCCAGGUUUAUUUGGCUUGGUGGCUUGGUGUCUGCUCCUUCAAAGCAAAGUAUCUACCCGAUCCUUCGGUGGGAUUUAUUCGUAAUUUCCGAUUGUUGAUUGUUGGUGAAUCAAGGAAACACAAGAAAUAAGAAAAGCCCACUCUGCUUUCAUGGACCCCAGUCAUGGCCAUGAGGAAGUGCAAUAUGGUGACGUAAAUUGUGGUUUGGAAAAUUAUCUAGGAAGAGUGAUGGGUUUGUUUAGCUCAUCCAUAAAACCAUAAACAAAGUGUACAGAGGAAAUUUAUCUAGGAAGAGUGAUGGGUUGGUGCUUUUUCUUGCAUCUUUCAUUUUUGCUAUGCUAGUAUGUAUGGUUAGAUUUUAAAAUCAAUUGAUGAUUAAGAGGAGUAGAUCGUUUAUUAUCUUAUAAGGAACGUGUCUCGUUAAUUUUUCUAACGUGGGAUUCUUAACAUCUCAAUAUAAAAAUUGUCGAUCGAAAAUCAAAGUUAAGCCUUGAAAAUAUAAAAUUGAUUAUUAAUAUGUUAGGUGUGUAAGAGUGAAGAAUAAAGGAAUGAGAAAGUGGGACAUGGGAAAGGGAGGAAUCCUAUGGAAUCUAGUUUAAGCUGAAGAAUCCUAAAUUGCCAAGAUUAGAAGCAACUUCCAAAGGGGAUAUCCAACACACUCAUCCUUUCCUUGUUAUACAAAAGGACCCAUUUAAUAUUGUUGUAUGGUCCCAUUCCAUUUUAUCAUCUAAAAUCUAAAAUCUAAAAUCUAAAAUCUAAAAUCUCUAUCUCAUCCAUGCACUUGUAUUUGUGUCCUGUUGUAUUGAGUCAAAUCAGAAAGACAACACUGUAACCAACUUUGAAGGACGUGGUGUUAUCGUUUUCUGUACGUGUCUUGAUGUUAAUUAUUUAUGAGGGGCCAUAGAUUGGAAUAUGAGAGGAAACUAAGAUCAAUAAUUCCUUUCAAUCAAAAGUCUUUUGUUAGAUGAGCUACUUAAUUCCACCCUUCAAAGUUCAAAAACUUCCAACUUUCAAACUCCUUCCUUGCUUACAUUUUUGUUCAUUUAAUUUAUUGUCUUGGUUUAAUUUGUUUUCAUGUUUUUAUUUUGUUGUGUCAAACUUGGGCGUUAGGAAUUUUCAAUUUUUCUUUUUUCUUUUUUAAAUUCAUAUAUUUGUUAUCCCUCCUAAUUUUUCAAGAUUUGAAUUGUUUGUCACAUUCAAGAAAAAGAAAAACAAGUUUCUCAAAGUAACUACCUCUAUUUUGU